ACCACGAUGAAUACGGGAUCCUAGGUGGUGGUGGAGGAAUCGUUCCUCGAAGACCAAGGAAAAAUCGUUCCACACAAAGGUGGAAUCAUUCCAAGCUGCAUCAUUCCUCCUAUCUCCUUGAAAGACCGAGGGGUCUCUCCAUUGAGUCCAUAGUGCAAUGUCACAAUCUGUGCUUCUCUCUUGCUAAGUGUGUUAAGAAGAUUCAUCACUUCCUUCUUCAUUAGUUGCCUCUUAACCAUCUUCUCUGGAGUCAUGUCCUCUGGCCCUGGUAUAAUCUCCUGAUGUAU